CCCGGCUGGGCCGGCGGCCGGGCGCGCGGAGACCGACGCCCCCACCGUCCGCACAGACGCGCACCUGCGCGCGUGGCAGGCCCCUCGUCUUCGCAGGCGACACCGAUGCCACCCUGCCUUUUCCCCCCCGGGUCCGUGUGCUGAGCCAUCCUGCCGCGUCAGGGCCGCGAAUCCAUUCCGGCCGCGGGAAGUGCGCGCGCCCACCCUGUGCCAGGCGCGGGGUGCGACAGGAAGAUGCGCGGCGCCUCGGCGUUCCGGGGGCCUUGCCCCGCCACGGGUGACAAUCGUGGGAACCGCAGCCGGUCACGACGGCGGGACUGAGUCCGUGUGUUCCACUGGUGGAUAGUCCGUGUCUAGCACAGCGCCUGGCACAAAGUUCCUGCCAGAGACCUCAAGCACUCGCCCCCAUUCUAGACGGUAGUCUGGAUAAUCAUCCUAAGAGGCUUUAUAAUGAUUUUCAUUAAGUCAACUUUUAUGUUCAAGAACCUUCUGUUGGUAGUCCAUCACGAUUUCUUCCUGACUGGCGGGCCCCUGUGAUCACCUGACCCGGUUCUGACACCUCCAGACUCUACCGCGUUCCCUGGUCUCGUCACACAGGCCUUGCCCUCCACCACCUCCUUGAUUCUUUUGUCUUCCUCAUUUAGAAGUACCUAAUGGAAUCUUAUUAAUGUCCAAGAAAUCGAAAUCCAGAGAGAGAAAGAAGGCAAAUAAGGCAAACGUAAGAAAUGUUGGGACAAGUGUGUGAGUUACUGAUGCCUCCUGACGGCCAGGUGCUCGGUACACCUGGUGCCUUUUUACAAAUACCAUGUCAUCAACGCAGCAUCUCCAUGAGGUACGUUGUGUAUUUUUCCAAGAAAUCGAAAUCCAGAGAGAGAAAGAAGGCAAAGAAGGAAAGGGCCUGCGUGAACUAUCGGGUGGAAGUAGCCGGUGGCGAUGUCUGCACCGCUAACUGCCAGAGACGGCCAAGUCUGCAAAACUCAGACUGCGCCCCUGCCUUCGGGGAGCUUCCUCCCCAAGGCAAAAUAACCGUAGAAUGGAAGCUGUAGAAAUGUCCAUGUUCUUGCGUUUGCUGAUACCAUUUAUGAAAAUUAAUCCCGAGGAACGAUUAUUUAUCUCUGGAUACCUGAUAACAUCCUCUGUGCUUACAACAUCAUUUCUGGGCCCAAUAGCAAAUAAUCCAAGAGAAUUUUUUAAAUUACCUGUAUGAAGCAAAAAUAAAACUGUUCCUUGCUUUAUUAUUUAUUCCUUAAACAUGUACAGGACAGGGACUGUUUUUCUUUUAGAGUACCCUCAUCAAGCACUUAUAUAGGUGCUUACAAUAUAGCAGGCACUUUGCUUAUUUAAUUCUCAUGACCAGUAGGGUACUAUUAUUAUCUCCAACUUUUUGAUGAGAUCUAGAGACGUUGUAAUUGAGGGCUGAGGCAGUCAGUCUUCCGGUUGUUAGGCGCUCCAUUAUAUAGUCUCACGUGCUUCCUAGAAGUCAGGACUGUGUGCCAGGCACAUGCUGGGGGUUCUAAAUUGAGCCACCUAUAGUCCUGACCUGUGAGGGACUACUCCUAGCUUAAUGAAGUUGACAAAUUUACAAAUAAUCAUUGCAUCAUAUAUUGUGAUUUGAAGACAACAUAAAUGUUUGGGAACGAAAAUGAUAAAGUAAGUAAUGCUAUGUAUUCACAAAAUAAAAUAGCUGCCAUCAAAUUAAAAUAUUAUAAACCUAUGUCUACAAAGAAAAGUGUUUACAAUAUCAUUAAUAAGUUCAUGUAAAAGCCAUGGAAACACAUGGACAGUAAUUGAAAGAAAUGUGGGAAGUGUUAAUGUAUUUGCAUUACGAGAGUGUUUCCUUUUUCAAUUUGAUUUAAUGUUAAAAAGUUUAUUGUAAGAACUAAGAAAAAAUGUUUCCGAACUCACAUACUAGGUAUUCAGUGAACAGUUGUCCCAUGAAUGAAUGAAUGAAUGAAGCUGCAAACUCAUUAGUGUCAGUACCUAACAGUGUUGGGUGUCGAGGACAUGCCCAAUAAAAUAUUCUGAAAUUGA